UGGGGAAUAUUGCACAAUGGGCGAAAGCCUGAUGCAGCAACGCCGCGUGAGUGAUGAAGGCCUUCGGGUUGUAAAGCUCUGUCUUUUGGGACGAUAAUGACGGUACCAAAGGAGGAAGCCACGGCUAACUACGUGCCAGCAGCCGCGGUAAUACGUAGGUGGCAAGCGUUGUCCGGAUUUACUGGGCGUAAAGGAUGCGUAGGCGGAUUUUUAAGUGAGAUGUGAAAACCCUAAGCUUAACUUGGGGACUGCAUUUCAUACUGGAAAUCUAGAGUGCGGGAGAGGAGAAUGGAAUUCCUAGUGUAGCGGUGAAAUGCGUAGAGAUUAGGAAGAACACCAGUGGCGAAGGCGAUUCUCUGGACCGUAACUGACGCUGAGGCAUGAAAGCGUGGGUAGCAAACAGGAUUAGAUACCCUGGUAGUCCACGCCGUAAACGAUGAGUACUAGGUGUAGGAGGUAUCGACCCCUUCUGCGCCGCAGUUAACACAAUAAGUACUCCGCCUGGGAAGUACGAUCGCAAGAUUAAAACUCAAAUGAAUUGACGGGGUCAUAGCUGUUUUCCU
rnacentral:rRNA from 1 species